AUUGAUUUUAUGCUUGCAUAAAUGAUUUUUGGAUUCGGAGCGAGUGGCGAACUGGUGAGUAACACGUGGGUAACCUGCCCCGAAGCGGGGGAUAACAUUUGGAAACAAGUGCUAAUACCGCAUAAUUAGUUGGAACCGCAUGGUUCCAACUUGAAAGAUGGCUCUGCUAUCACUUUGGGAUGGACCCGCGCCGUAUUAGUUAGUUGGUGAGAUAAAAGCCCACCAAGACGAUGAUACGUAGCCGACCUGAGAGGGUAAUCGGCCACAUUGGGACUGAGACACGGCCCAGACUCCUACGGGAGGCAGCAGUAGGGAAUCUUCCACAAUGGACGAAAGUCUGAUGGAGCAACGCCGCGUGAGUGAUGAAGGUUUUCGGAUCGUAAAACUCUGUUGUUAAAGAAGAACAAGUGUUAGAGUAACUGUUAACACUUUGACGGUAUUUAACCAGAAAGCCACGGCUAACUACGUGCCAGCAGCCGCGGUAAUACGUAGGUGGCAAGCGUUGUCCGGAUUUAUUGGGCGUAAAGCGAGCGCAGGCGGUUUUGUAAGUCUGCUGUGAAAGCCCUCAGCUCAACUGAGGAAGUGCAGUGGAAACUACAAAACUUGAGUACAGAAGAGGAAAGUGGAACUCCAUGUGUAGCGGUGAAAUGCGUAGAUAUAUGGAAGAACACCAGUGGCGAAGGCGGCUUUCUGGUCUGUUACUGACGCUGAGGCUCGAAAGCAUGGGUAGCGA
rnacentral:rRNA from 2 species